rnacentral:pre_miRNA from 1 species
AAUUCGCGGUAAACAGGGAAACGGUCCUCAUAUGUGAGAGAUGGAAAUGUACUUUUUAGUGAAUA